rfam:Homo sapiens chromosome 19 genomic contig, GRCh38 reference assembly alternate locus group ALT_REF_LOCI_9.
GCUGGGCGUGGUGGCGCACGCCUGUAGUCCCAGCUACUCGGGAGGCUGAGGCAGGAGAAUCGCUUGAACCCAGGAGGCGGAGGUUGCAGUGAGCCGAGACCAUGCCACUGCACUCUAGCCUGGAAGACAGAGUGAGACUCUGUCUCAA